UGGCGCUCCCUGGCGGCCCGGCCCGCCCGGCGGGCUCUGCGGGAGGACCGGCUUUGGCGGCGGCGGUCGGGGCGGCGGGGCUGGCGGGGCCCGGCCCCGGGGGGGCGCCGGCGGCUCCCGGCGCUAAGGCGGGCGGAGCGGCCGCUUCCGCCUCGCUGGUCACGGCUUGCCGCCGGGGCUGAUGGCGCUGCCUUCCCCUGUCCCUGCCUGCGGCAGCGCUAACAACCCUCGCCGCCCUCCUCCUCGUCCUGAUUUGUACAAUUGCUUAUGUAGCUGCCAAAAAAUGCCAACCCUUCACUGACACGAAGAAAAGAAAUUCUUUGUAAACGCUGAAGGCUGGAAAGAACCUGUAGCAAGUAUACAUGAUCCCCCUACAAGGGAACUCUCUGUUGUUGUGCCUUCGUACAAUGAAGAAGACUGGUAAAGGACAGAACUUAGAGUUGAAGCUGCUAAGCUUGUUUGCUGAAGUACCUCUUAUGAUGGAUGAAGCUCUGAAAUAUCUAGAAAAAAGACAGGUAUUUUCUUUUUGCAUUCAGAAUUCAUUCUUUUUCGGUGUAUUAUGUAUAAAAAGCUGUGAUGUAGUUACUCUGUUAUGUUGGUAUACAUUAAACAGUAAUACUUGGCCACUUAGAAGUAACACUUCGGUCUCUUAUCAGUUAUUUUUAAAUCAAGUGCUAAAAAGUAUUUUUAAAUUAAGUAAAAAUUUAAUAUACUGCUAUGGGAUGAAAAAUCUUCAUGUGAAUGUUAUCUUUCCAAGACAAAGCUAAACUUUCUGAACUAAAUCCUAGUUUGUUCGAACAAGUUUUUUAAGUAUCAGUUCUUCAUUAUAAUUUGUUCUCUGGGUAAGAAACUCAUUGUGAAAGUUUGUGGAUUUGGGUUUUUUGGGGUUUUCUUAACAGUGGUGAUGUUCCGAGCAUUCAUCCUUUACGAUUGAAUUGAUUUUUCGGUUCUGGAUGGUGUCAUGACAACCCAGUGUAAUGGCAUGUUCAUCAAAUAUGGCAAAAUUCUUUAAUUAUGCCAUGUUGACAAAUUUACUAUGUUAGUAAAUUUAUUAUGUUAGUGUCCGUUGGCAGCCAUGAAUGAUUUAAAACCUGCUAGGGAGAAAAGAAUAAUGAUGUUUGAAAGACCUAUUGCCUACUUAAGAAAUGGGAUUAAAUGUAUUAUUUCUGCUUUUAUUUUCAAGAAACGAGACUUAAGAAGUCAUAGUAGUUAAUGAUAGUAGUAAAUAUCAAACUACAAAGAUAAGAAAAAAAAUUGUCUUCCUAUGCAAUCAGAGGUGUUGGGGUUUACACUACAUUUGUGGAAUAUAACAGUUUUUUGCAUUUAUAUUUUGGUACUUGAAAUAGUUUACAACUGAAGUUAAUAUUUCUGAGUGCUUUCUGUCAUUGUUCUAUAUGCAUCAUGGAUGUCACAUAUGCACAUGAAUACAUACACAAUUCCUUUGCAAAUUCUAGUUUUCUUGGUUGGUGACUGUGGCAGCUAUUUUCCUGCAGCUGAGAUUCUCAGAAUUCUAAUCCUAGCUUCAAGAAAUUUCUUACUAAAUACUCCAUCUAUGCAUAGUGAUGAUGUGAAUAUGAACUUGAGGAAGCUAGAAAGUCUUUUAAAAUACCCGAUUCAUACUGUGAAUGACAGAACAUCUGACAUAGUUCUUCCUCACACCCUUCAUGGCAUUGUUUAUUUAAAAAUACCUGUGCCAGUAGUAGUAUUUUCAAAAUAGGUCUGUAUUCUUCUGGUUCAACUCUGAUGUAUGUCACUGGAAAGGAAGGCUCGCUAACUUGAGGGCUUUUUUUACCAUUGCUUGGAAGAUGUUUGAGGUAGCUACUAAAAUGCAUACUGCUUUUUGAUUUACUUUCCUUAAGCUUGUCCAUUAAGGAUUGUUCGUAAAUAUUUUUGACUACUGUGCAUUCCUUCUGGCAUCUCUUUUAACUGAGCACACAAUGGCUGCAGGCCUCUGGACUUACAAGCACUCAAGACAACCUUUAGAAAAAAUUAGGAUGAGAAAACUCAUGCUGUCUCUUCCUCACAGCAUGGAACAAUAUCUGCAGAUCCUUGCAGUGUGAAUGGGAUUUUAGAUCAAUGUGAAUUUUUGUUUAAAACCACAGAUAGCAACAAGACAAAUGAUAAAUAGGUGACUGAAGUAGAAAAUUAUAUUACUUUUAUUAACUAUUGGUGUUAAUAUAAAAGGUCUGUAAUAGUAUAAGUUGAAGUAGGAUUGAGUUUUUUGGAGGUGGGAGGAUGGGGUUUGGAGUAUCCUUUUCUUUUGAACAUGACUAGUUUCUUCAGUCUUCUUGUUUUGACUGUGAACUGGUUUUUAUUUUCCUGAACAGACUCCAGCGAACAGUGGCAAUGUAUUUGUGCUGACUGAAGUGAUUAUACCUCUGUGCUGUUGAUUUAUUUUCUUUUAAAGGGUGAACAAAUAUAAGCUUCUACCUUGAUUCCUGGGUUUGUUUUAUCCUGGUUUUUUGUGUGUCUAUCAGGUUGCAAUGGAGUACUGGAAGAAAUAUGGAAGCGACAAAGCGUGAGUGCUUUCUUUGGUAAAAAAUAGAGGGAAAGAAGGAGUAGUCAGGAUGGUAAUUGAUACUUUCAUCUCCUUCUCUGUUUGAGCCACCAAAUAUGCAGAAGAUAGAGCUGUGCUGAUUGACAUUUUGAAUUCAAUGCAUUAACAAAUGAUUAUGAGAAAACUGAGUACAGAUUCUAUAAAUAAAAGCAAAAACUUUUUUCAAAAUAAGCUGAUUUGAGAUCUUGGAAACAGUAUUUUCUUACCAGGAAGAUCAAUAAUGAAGACAUUUUUUUGUAUGAGAUUUCAAAGGGAAAAUAAAUACUUGAAUUUCAUAUUCAUGUUAGUUCCACUUAGAAAUAGACUUGUGUUUAUGGCUUAUAAAAGCCAACCAAAAAAAAACCCAACCAAACUGUUACAGAUUAAAGUUAAGGUUUUGUAGACAAAAUACAGCCAAAUUUGCAAACUUUGUUCUUCAGGUCAUAGAUGUGUUUUUUAAAAUAGCUAAUAAAGAAGCAUUCUCAUCCUUCAAAGUUUGUUUUUAGUGAAACCCACUGUUAUCACCCACACUCGAUAGCAGAAACAGCACAAUUUAUGCUUUCACACAGACAUUAUCAUGAAAUCAUCAUGUCCUAAAAAUAAAAUAGCUGUUACACAUUUAGAAGGACUAUCUUCUUCCUAAGAUGAAUGAUACCUUAUUUUUAUGAAAAAGGAUGAUAUCAUCUGUGAGUUAUCAGUGACUUGUCUUCAUCUGUAUUUUGUGCUCUAUCUUUAACAUAUUUUUUUAUGAAAAAUGAGUAAAUAUAGGAAAUGGAGAGAACAUUAUAUUAGAUUAUAUGGAAUUUUUGUAAGAUAUAUACUUCUGAAGUUAUUUCCAGAGAAGAAGAAAAUUCUCGUGUGUGAUACACUUCUGCAACGCAGAGUGUAGAGUGGAUGUGUAUACAACUACUUCCUUGACAGGAUUUUCCAAACUCACACAUGCUUGGUUGCAACAGUACUUCAGUCAAACUACUGCUAAUUGUUUUCCUGUCUGGACCCCUUCAAAAAUUGUGAAAUUUUUCUGACCAAGAAUAUAGCAAAACAGGUUGUGAGACCUCUGCAUCACAAAUGUUUUGCAGUGAUACUGUGACUUAAGACUGAAUCUUAAAUUAGUUUUGAGAAACAGCUCUUGAAUUCUUUUGAAACAGUGUUGGGAAAAACUAGCUCUACAUCCUCCUUUCCGUAGCUCAAAUGGCAAAGAAAAGCCAUCCAGUGCAGUGGCAGCUGCUAAUCAGUGCUUCUUGUGCUCCCCUCUACAGCUGACUGUAGCAACUUGUUGACUGUUAGAUUUUGGAUUGUAAAGCUUUUAAUUUGCAACCAUCUCUUCAGAAGGAUUGUUAGCCUUUUGUGUUCAUGCUUUGUCUGUCACUGUGGGACACUACGCAGUGUGUAAAGUCUCUUGAUGCUAUUAUAAUAUAAAUUGGUAAAUUGUUGUGAGUAGCAGAACAUUAGGACUCACUUGUUGUGUUGAAUCUGUGAGAUAUCACUGUUCUUGUUACUACCUUAGUUUUCUGGAGUCUUUUGCACCUAACUUAUGACAAAUACUGAUUUCAAAAGUGUUGAUUUUUAUUGACUCUUUUCAUUGCAAGGUGUCUUUAGUUCUCAGGGGAAAAAAUUCUUAUGGCUGAUGCAGAUGGAGCUACAAAAUUUGCAGAUAUUGAAAAAGUAGAAGAAGGUCUAAAAAAUCUCCAGCCAUGGCCUAACUAGAUGGCUAUUUCCUGUGGUUCUAGAGCUUAUCUGGAGAAGAACUCAGUAGCAAAGGCCGUUUGAUGUGGAACUUCUUUAUAUAGCCUAGCGCUUGAAAAUACCUAGAGCAGAAGUUGCUGUCAACUGGACUGAAAUAGAAGGUUCUAAGUUAGUAGAAGUUUGGAGCUGGCUGCAGAUGGGCAGGGAUCUUCAUUUUAUACGACUGCGAUAUAUGACUGGUGCCUGGCAGCUUGAAAGAAGAAAAUAUAAUUAGGUUAUUUACAUUUUCCAAAUAUAUUAUUAUACUUAAUGGAACAUGAGAACAGUUUCAAUCAAGUGAAGUGGUGAUGAAAGUUGAGGUAAUUCUUCAUUGCUCCUCUUGUAUGUUUCAUUUUUGCAGCAUGUAUGUGUUUUGUAAGAUUACCAGCAAGGAAUUUUUACAUUUUGAAAAGAGAAACCAUUUCAAAAAAGGUUUUCUUCCCUGGUAAUCGGUUUUUAUUUUAUUAGAUAGUAGCUUUAACAUGUCUUAUAAAUUAAUUCAAAUAAAUAUAUCUGCUUUUGUCUCAUCACACUUCUGGAAUUUCCAUAUACAUAUUAAAAAGAGGCGCUCUGUUCUAUGUUGUGCAAUGCUGUGUCAUGAAUUACCGUAACCAUUUGUUUCUGUGAUAUCUGGAAAUUUUAGGCCAUAUUGCAACUUGGAAUUAUCAUUCAUGGUUCACACUGAUGCAUGUUUAGAUUCAAUGUUAGUGGAAACAUUAAUGGAUUUUACUGAGUUAUAACAGUAAUAUUCUUUAGGUUGUUCUCAGGACUUUCAGUAGUCUCUUUACAUUCCAAAUGUUUUUGUCUGAAGCUGAAAUAGUUUUCCUGAGAUCAAACUGCAGGUCAUGUCCAGACUGUAGAAGGUCCAACGGCAAGUACAUUUAGUUUUACAGUGUUGUCUUUUAUAAAUGUGUUUUGUUCAUUUGUAUGAAUUAUUCCUGCCUGCUCAAGGCUAGAAGUCCUUGGCAUCUACAGUCUGAAGUGAAGAGGGUAUGGAAAGCUAGUUCAGAGCAUACUAAAAUGAGACUCAGUGUACACUGAGGGCUGUGCAUUAGUGAUGCCAAUGUGAUGUUGUCACACUUCAACUGAGAUCAGAGAGGGAGGGGCGGGUCUUGAGUCUGUCAUAGGAAUGUCAUACUGUGUUACAGUACUGUAACAUAGUGGCAUUUGUGCUUUCAAAAUAGUUGUGGAUUUCCAACAAAUUAAGCCAAUCUGUCUUUCAGAAACAUGUACAAAUUUGAACAGAUGUAAGGAAUGAAUGGUAUAUGGUUGUACUUUCACAUGUAAAUUCACUGGUGAUUUUUCUUAUUCUUUCUGUAAUAUUGACUUGAGUUUUGCUCCUGUUAGGGUUGCCUCAGUUUUCUACCAAGUGCUGGAAUAAAUUCUCAAAAAAUAUA